rnacentral:rRNA from 1 species
UGCCAGCAGCCGCGGUAAUACGUAGGGUGCAAGCGUUAAUCGGAAUUACUGGGCGUAAAGCGUGCGCAGGCGGUGAUGUAAGACAGUUGUGAAAUCCCCGGGCUCAACCUGGGAACUGCAUCUGUGACUGCAUCGCUGGAGUGCGGCAGAGGGGRAUGGAAUUCCGCGUGUAGCAGUGAAAUGCGUAGAUAURCGGAGGAACACCGAUGGCGAAGGCAAUCCCCUGGGCCUGCACUGACGCUCAUGCUCGAAAGCGUGGGGAGCAAACAGGAUUAGAUACCCUGGUAGUCC